rnacentral:lncRNA from 1 species
AGGAAUUACUAGGCUUUGGUUUAGGAUUUAGGAUUUGGUUUAAAAUUUGGUUAGGGUUUGAUUUAGGAUUUAGGAUUUGAUUAGGAUAUGAUUUAGGGUUUAGGAUUUGAUUAGGAUUUGAUUUAGGGUUUAGGAUUUGUUUAGGAUUUGUUUAGGAUUUAAGAUUUAGUUAAUUUUUGGCCUAAAGUUUGAAUGAAGUCCGAUAGGAUUUUAAUUAGGAUUAAAUUAAGAUUGAAUUGAGAUGUAUUUGAGAUAUAUUUGUGAUCAUUCUAAUAUUUCUUUAAGGUUUCUUAUUUUUUCUUUGUAAUUCCUUUAAGAUUUCUUUGAAUUUGAUUAAAGCUUAUUUAGCAUUGUUAUGGUCUAAUUAGAGUUUAGUUAGUAUUCUAUUAGAGUUAAGAUUUUGUUGUUGCAAUUUCCAUUCUACCAUCCAUAGUUAAGUACUUAGAGCAUUUUUAAGCAAGACUUCACGUAUUACGACAAUGGACAUACAACUAAAGAAGGUUCCAAAAGGUUCUAAAAGAUCUAGAAGAUUAUAGAAGGUUUCAAUAGAUUC